rnacentral:lncRNA from 1 species
AUAUUUAUAUGUUUUCAUAUGAAUAAAUAAUUUGUAUCCUAUAUUAUGUAUAUUUUAAUCAUUUGUUUUCUUUCAAUAGUUUAACAGUAAAAUUUACCAAACAUCCAUAACUGCUUUCAAAAUGCACAGUAUUUCUGAAAAAUAAAAUUUACUAAACACUUAAAUGAUUCUCUUCACAUCUGAUUAUUUUUAUAGCACAACUAAUAGUAAUUAUUUUAAAAGUUACAUAAUUUUUAAACUGGCCUUAAGUUACAAAUCUAUGGGUACGAUUUUUAGUAUUUCUAAAGAAUCCCUUCGAGACUAUUCUUUCUUUCCCUCUGUUAUAAAUAUAUGACAGAUAACUCUUGUAACAGUGUGUUUUGGUGUAGUCAAGGGAAGCUAGAAGUAAAUUAAAUUCUUGCCUAUAAAGAUUUAAAUACCAAGUGCCAUAAUCUCAAACUUUGUAAAAUCUAGGUUUGAAAAGGAUAUAAAUCGAUUAAGAUAAGGCAUCGUGUGUCCAACACGUCUUAGAUUUUUCAGCCGACAGAAUUUUUAUUUCUUAAUUAUAUUGGUCAUAAUUACAGCUGAAUCCAUUACAAUUAGAUAAUCAAUCUGAACAUAUAUGCAUAUUUCACCAACUGCUUUUGUCUUUUGUCCUAGUUUUUCGCAUUGAAUACUAUUUUAAAUCAACUAUAAAUUACGUAUAAUGUAACUUAGCCGCUACUUAAUUACAUAGGAUUGCUUGUUUAAAAAAAAUGACAAAUUGAGUGAUGAGGUCUCAAGUGGUAUCCUUCCCCUUCAGUUAUUAUUUGCUUUGUACAGAGGAAGGGUGAGAAUUGAUUUGAGAUACACUGAAUUGAAUAUAGAUAAUAGUAAUUCAAGUCGAGUCCAAAAUCAAAUCAAGUUGAGACUCAUUGAGAUUUGACUUUUGAGAGCCAAAAUUAACCAAAAUCAUUGAUGGGAACGUGCCCUUCAAGGUCCUUGUGUUUUUUUUCGUUUAUCAAAAGCUUGCAUCAUAACGGGCCCCUCCCCUUCUCCCCGUAUUAUGAGGUCAUAAUCUUUUUGAAAAGUCCCCACCGCCCCUCCCAUAAAUUUAUAGGAAAUUUGUAUCCUACCUCCAAAUAAAUUGAUAUUUUAUACUGCGCAUCUAAAAAAAUAACGUGUUGCACCGCACCCUCAAUUUCAUUAAUUUUUC